GCCUGCCUAGCUCAAUCGGAUAGAGCGUGAGACUUUUACGGCAAAGGCUAUUAAUCUCAAGGCUGCGAGUUCGAGCCUCGCGGUGGGCU